UACGUAGGGUGCGAGCGUUGUCCGGAAUUAUUGGGCGUAAAGAGCUUGUAGGCGGUCUGUCGCGUCUGCUGUGAAAAUCCGGGGCUCAACCCCGGACUUGCAGUGGGUACGGGCAGACUAGAGUGUGGUAGGGGAGACUGGAAUUCCUGGUGUAGCGGUGAAAUGCGCAGAUAUCAGGAGGAACACCGAUGGCGAAGGCAGGUCUCUGGGCCACUACUGACGCUGAGAAGCGAAAGCAUGGGGAGCGAACAGGAUUAGA
rnacentral:rRNA from 1 species